rnacentral:pre_miRNA from 1 species
GGACGAAAACGAGAAGGGACGGACAAACACAAACUUCCGACUGUCAAAAUGGUCGUUGCCAGUUGGAAGUUUGUGUUUGUCCGUCCCCUCUCGUUUUCUUCC